UACGGGGGGGGCAAGCGUUGUUCGGAAUUACUGGGCGUAAAGGGCUUGUAGGUGGCCCAACUAAGUCAGACGUGAAAUCCCCUCGGCUUAACCGGGGAACUGCGUCUGAUACUGGAUGGCUUGAGAGGUGGGAGAGGGAUGCGGAAUUCCAGGUGUAGCGGUGAAAUGCGUAGAUAUCUGGAGGAACACCGGUGGCGAAGGCGGCAUCCUGGACCAAUUCUGACGCGUGAGGAGCGAAAAGCCAGGGGAGCAAACGGG
rnacentral:rRNA from 1 species